rnacentral:lncRNA from 1 species
UGACUCUACUCAACUGUCUCCACAGAAGGCCCUAGGAUCAAAAAAGAUACAGCUCCCCAGCACCACAGAGAGGCUGGUGCUGGGUGAAAGGUGCACCCAAGCUUGGAAGCCUUCAGAAAACACAUUACUCACACGUUUGUGGUGAUGCUGGUGGAAACAAGCCUGCUGCACUGCGAGUUGUAUAAAGAUCUUGAACACACUCAUGGGGGAGGAGAGGCAAUCAUCUCAGGACGAGAACAAAGCCACAUGCUAAGAAGGAUGAAGAGGAAGACAAAAUGAUUUGGGGUGUACGAAGAAAGCUAUAUGUAGCUGCCCUCAUCUUGGAUUACUUUUCCAGAAUUUUUAAGACAAAUGUACUCCACCGGUAAAGCCAGUUUUGGGUGAGUUACUGCUUAUU